GUCCCUGUCACGCAAUCGAUAGCGCGUUAGACUUCUAAUCCAAUGAUCGUAGGCUCGAAACCUACCUGGGAUG